GAGCUAGUCAGGCCUGGAUGCUGAGUUCAGUGCUUUGUGCCACAGUUUAGGAAAGUCAGCAAUAAAUUGGCAUGUGUCCAGAGGAGGGCAACCAUGAUAGUGAUGGGACUUGAAACCAUGUCAUAUAAUAUGUCAAAACUGAAUCCAAACUAGAGUAGGAGAAGUUGCAGUGAGUAAAAUUUUAUGUUGAUAGAUGGGAUAACUCCCUAACAGCUGGAGAUGACUUAAAAAUGGAAGAGGUUGACUUGGGAGAUCAUGAGUUUCCUGUCACUGGGAGCAUUCAUUCAGAGAUUGAAUGACCCCUGUCACUUAUAUAAUAGAAAACAUUCUACCAUGGAAUGGUCCAGUCCAAUUCCUAGAUGCUAUUGAAUCCUAGAAUGCUCUAACUGGAAAGGGCCUGAGAGUGCUCCUAUUCCAACGCCUCCUUUUAUAAAUCAGAGAAAUCAGAAGUGAAAAUACUAACUUGCCCAAGGUAAUACAAUUACAAAGUAAGGGUUAGGUCAGAUAUAAAUUGUUAAAACACUUAAAUGUGCUUGUGAGCUCGCCUAAUUAGCACACUUAACUAUAUUUUUGGUCACUGGAGCAUGGGCCCCUCAUAUCUGUUCCUUAGACCUUGUGUCCAGGGUUGUGGCCAACACCUCCCUUCUGGACCUUUGUUAAGAUGGUAGAAACCGAUAGACCCCUCUUGCUCAAGUCCCUGGUCUUUCCCCCCACCCCCUGUCCAUCAGGCUACUGUCUCUGACAGAGAUAAGAUGACCCCACCUCUUUGGGUUGUCCCCCUGUCCU